UGGCAUGCUAUUCCUAUGCUUCAUCUUACACAUCUUACACAUGGCUUAUUAUAAUUCUUUGCAUGACUCAUGUGGACCCUCCUAUAAUUGCUGGUUUUGUGAUUGCUGAUUUAUGCAAACCAUUGACAGAAGUGGUUUAUGGAAACAAUUGUGGUUUUAUGAUUACUUUCCCAAAUUUUUUUUUCAUUUAUGAAAUUGUUUUCUCUCUCUUCCCCCCUCUCUCUCUCGUACGCUCUCCCUCUUUCUCAUCAUCCCACAGUUUCAUCUCUCACUCCCCAUCUCAUCCUUCACCAUAACAUCCACACCACAACCUCCACCACCAUCUACGAAUCAAUCAAUCGUCAUGAGAGUGAGGGAGUGGCCGAGUGAGAGAAGAUUUACCGGCGGGAGAGAAGUUCUGGUGAGGAGGAGGAGUUCCGGCCGAGAGAGUUCUUGUGGCCGUUUGUGGUGACACGGCGGUGCUCGGCAACGGCGGCGACGAAGCUUCUUGCUCCUUCUUUCCUCUGGUUCGAUCUUAAUUUCUAUGCUCUAUUUAUUUUUUAUUUUUUUUCGUUGUUUUUUUUGUUGGUGAGGAUGGUUGAAGAUCGGAGGUGAUGGUGAUGUGUGGUGGUUAUGGUAGAUGGUGAUGUAUCUCCAAAUUCAUCUUCUAGAUUUCAUCUUUCUCAAUUUGUCAAUAUUCAUCUCUCUGUGAGUCUGUGACUGUUAUCUGAAUUCUUGGAAUCAAAUCAAUCUGAACUUGAUUUAUUGGCUUGUGUCUUCUGCUCUUAAAAUUUGUGUUGCUUGCUCACAAUUUUCACUCACAUGCUUUUGCAGAUUACCUUUAGCAUUCUAUUUGUCAUUGUAAUUGCAUUUGUAUCAGAUGGUUUGAGUACAGUGCCAGACAAAGCAUCUGUCCUUUCUUCAAACACAUCCUUCAGCCAUGAAUUUCACGAACAUGGGGAUCAGAUAAUAAAGAAUUGCUUCAGAGGGAAGUUGGUUUUUGGUGGUUAUUCAGUUUCAGAUCAAAAUCACCGGAAAAGCCAGUCGCGCCACCACCACAAAAGCUUUCUCUAUGCGACAGACAGGAGGGUUUAGAGCAAAAAGUAAAGAUUCUGGAAAGCAAUUUGAGUUCUUUUAGUGAGAAAGAGAAAAAAGAAGUAUCUGGAUUUGAAUAGAACAGUUUUUGGUGAAUGUGAAGAUGACUAUUGUGCACUAUCAAAAUUUGUUAUCUUUCUCGCUUUCUUUUGGCAUACCUGGCAACGGGAAUGAAUGACAUGGAGCACACACAACAACGGUAGCAGCCUCCGAUGUAGAGGUUUGUGUAUCUCAUCUCAGCUCCAUAGAAUAUUUCUGGUUCUACUUUAGCUAGAUCUAUCCAUUUUGCUUAGAUAAAGGGUGGAUUUUGAUCUAGCUUGAAGGUUUUGAUCAUCUGUUAUAAGAGAGAGUUCCGACCGAGAGAGUUGCGGUGCUUGGCGAUGGAGGUGAUGAAGCCAUUUUCUCCUUCUUUCCUCCGGUUCGAUCCUUCAUUCGGAUGAUCAUCAACAAUCUAUUGAAGAAGAGAAGGCUUGAUUUGUGGUAUUUCUUUGAUGUUAAUACUCCCAAGAUGAAAAGAGAUCUCAUGAAGCAGCUUUGGCGAAGUGCAAGGAGUUAGAAGAACAAUUGCAAAGGCUUGAUUUGUGGUAUUUCUUUGAUGUUAAUACUCCCAAGAUGAAAAGAGAUCUCAUGAAGCAGCUUUGGCGAAGUGCAAGGAGUUAGAAGAACAAUUGCAAAGAUAUGAACCAUCGUUACAAAUUGCAUCCUGAUGUUCGUCCUUACGCAAUGAUGACCAGGACAGGAUAUAUGGAGUAUGAUCCCAUGAAGCCCCGAGGAAAGCUUCCAGAAAUCUAUGCACGUUCCAUUGGUCAAUACAUGUGAUACGGUUUUUUUGGAGGAUGUUAACAAGAAUCAGAUUCAAGUUGGUGUGCACAAAAAGAGUUCUUCAAAAAUUUAUUUUACUGAUGGCUGGUCAAUACAUAGGUGAUACGGUUUUUCUGGCCAGUGGCGUGAUAUUUGCAAAGUCCACCAUUUGGCUGAGGGUGUAACUGUGAGCUUUGGUGUCACUCAAGCAUCCAACAACAGGAUCAUAUACUUCAAGCUAUCCCCUUACAUUGGCAUACGAACUACUCUCAUUGCUCCUUCAACAUCCAGCAAGCGGAAGAAAUUUUAUGAGACUCAGCAUUUCUAUAUGCUCUAGGAUCCCUACUAUCUUGCUUUAGAACUAUCUUGCUUUUAUUUAUUUCUGAACCUAUGCUGUAAUAUCUCUGCCAAACUUGAUUUUCAUGCUUUUAGGCUUGGCCAUUUUGAGCUUGUGCUGUGCUUGCUCUAUUUUGCUUUAGAACUAUGUUGAUUUUCAUGCUUAAGAGCUUGGCCAUUUCGAACUUGUGUUGUAAUAUUUCUACAAGACUUUAUUUCCCUGCUUUUCAUAGUGCUUGCCCCAAUGCUUGCUCUUUUAUGAUUGA